rnacentral:rRNA from 1 species
GAUGAACGCUGGCGGCGUGCCUAAUACAUGCAAGUCGAGCGAACAGACGAGGAGCUUGCUCCUCUGACGUUAGCGGCGGACGGGUGAGUAACACGUGGAUAACCUACCUAUAAGACUGGGAUAACUUCGGGAAACCGGAGCUAAUACCGGAUAAUAUAUUGAACCGCAUGGUUCAAUAGUGAAAGACGGUUUUGCUGUCACUUAUAGAUGGAUCCGCGCCGCAUUAGCUAGUUGGUAAGGUAACGGCUUACCAAGGCAACGAUGCGUAGCCGACCUGAGAGGGGGAUCGGCCACACUGGAACUGAGACACGGUCCAGACUCCUACGGGAGGCAGCAGUGGGGAAUCUUCCGCAAGGGGCGAAGGCCUGACGGAGCAACGCCGGGUGAGUGAGGAAGUUCUUCGGAUCGUAAAACCCUUUUAUUAGGAAAAAACAAAGUUGAAAGUAACUAUGCACGCCUGGACGGUACCUAAUCAGAAAGCCACGGCUAACUACGU